rnacentral:rRNA from 1 species
AUUGAACGCUGGCGGCAGGCCUAACACAUGCAAGUCGAACGAGUGGCCGACGGGUGAGUAAUGUCUGGGAAACUGCUUGAUGGAGGGGGCUCCCUACUGGAAACGGUAGCUAAUACCGCAUACCAUCGGUGGUCCCCAGAUGGGAUUAGCUAGUAGGUGGGUUAAAGGCUCACCUAGGCGACGAUCCCUAGCUGGUCUGAGAGGUUGACCAGCCACACUGGAACUGAGACACGGUCCAGACUCCUAGGGGAGGCAGCAGUGGGGAAUAUUGCACAAGGGGCGCAAGCCUGAGGCCGCCAGGCCGCGUGUAUGAAGAAGGCCGUCGGGUUGUAAAUUACGUUCAGCGGGGAGGCGUUACCCGCAGAAGAAGCACCGGCGAACUGCGUGCCAGCCGCCGCGGUAAUAC